UACGUAGGGCGCAAGCAUUGUCCGGAAUUAUUGGGCGUAAAGAGCUCGUAGGCGGCUUGUCGCGUCUGCUGUGAAAACCCGGGGCUCAACCCCGGGCCUGCAGUGGGUACGGGCAGGCUAGAGUGCGGUAGGGGAGACUGGAAUUCCUGGUGUAGCGGUGGAAUGCGCAGAUAUCAGGAGGAACACCGAUGGCGAAGGCAGGUCUCUAGGCUGUUACUGACGCUGAGAAGCGAAAGCAUGGGUAGCGAACAAG
rnacentral:misc_RNA from 1 species